GCAAGUCGAGGGGUAACAGGGGAGCUUGCUCCCGCUGACGACCGGCGCACGGGUGCGUAACGCGUAUAGAAUCUACCUUGUACAGAGGGAUAGCCCAGAGAAAUUUGGAUUAAUACCUCAUAGUGUUGUUGAAUGGCAUCAUUUAGCGAUUAAACAUUUAUGGGUACAAGAUGACUAUGCGUCCUAUUAGUUAGUUGGUAAGGUAACGGCUUACCAAGACAUCGAUAGGUAGGGGUCCUGAGAGGGAGAUC
rnacentral:rRNA from 1 species